GGGGAUUUAGCUCAGCAGUAGAGCGCUUGCCUAGCAAGCACAAGGCCCUGGGUUCGGUCCCCAGCUCCA
rnacentral:tRNA from 1 species